rnacentral:tRNA from 2 species
UGGGAUAUAGCUUAGAUGGUCAAAGCAUCUGACUGAUAUUCAGAGGACCGUAGGUUCAAGUCCUACUAUCCCAA